rnacentral:misc_RNA from 1 species
GUUUUGUUCAUGAUCACACUCUUGACAAAGACAAACUCCAACCUAAAUUAGUAAAGUGUGUCUUUUUAGGAUAUUAUCAUCUUCAAAAAGGAUGCAAAUUCUAUGAUCCAACUACAAAUAGAUAUUUUGUGUCAGCAGAUGUAACUUUCUUUGAAAUGUCUCCCUACUUUUCAUCCAACACAGCAGACAUAAAUAUCAUUCCUAAUGCCUUGCCAAUUCUCGCUAUUCCACCACUUCGAGUCAAUCUACCUCCUCUCCAAGUCUCCUCUCG